rnacentral:rRNA from 1 species
GACGAACGCUGGCGGCGUGCCUAAUACAUGCAAGUAGAACGCUGAAGGAGGAGCUUGCUCUUCUGGUCGAGUUGCGAACGGGUGAGUAACGCGUAGGUAACCUGCCUGGUAGCGGGGGAUAACUAUUGGAAACGAUAGCUAAUACCGCAUAACAGUAGAUGUUGCAUGACAUUUACUUAAAAGGUGCAAUUGCAUCACUACCAGAUGGACCUGCGUUGUAUUAGCUAGUUGGUGGGGUAACGGCUCACCAAGGCGACGAUACAUAGCCGACCUGAGAGGGUGAUCGGCCACACUGGGACUGAGACACGGCCCAGACUCCUACGGGAGGCAGCAGUAGGGAAUCUUCGGCAAUGGACGGAAGUCUGACCGAGCAACGCCGCGUGAGUGAAGAAGGUUUUCGGAUCGUAAAGCUCUGUUGUAAGAGAAGAACGAGUGUGAGAGUGGAAAGUUCACACUGUGACGGUAUCUUACCAGAAAGGGACGGCUAACUACGUG